CACCUGGAGCUGACAUGGGUGUGUAUGUCGAGUCUCCUGCAGGAGCGCUUUCACUGCUCACAUACCGACAUCCUGCUGAAAUUUACAUGAACGAUGAGCGAGGGGAAGCCGCACCGAGAGGCUCUCUGUUUAAGCCUAACUGCUAGUAUCUUCCAUGCAAAUGUGGUUCCUGCAUGGAUGGAUUAUCAUGAACACCGGAGACCAUAGACUGUAUAUCAGAAGAGGACGUAGUCAUCAUGACGUCACCCAAUGAUCACUUCCCCCUGACCAGAAGAAGACUCUCACACACUACUGGCAGAAGAAUAUUCUCAUGUUCAGUUUCUCCCACAUAUGAACAAUGCAGCUUCCAUCCUCUCAGCACCACUAAAUCACCGACCGGACUGUGAAUGAUGAUCCUGCAUCCUCCGUCUCCUCCGCCUCCAAUGGGAGACUUUAAAUAUCAUCUCUGAGAAAACAGUGACGGGAUGAUUUUUCACCACCGCUCAACACUGCUUUUUCUGCUCUUAUAAACAGACUUUCCCCCCCCUCUUCUUCAUCAUCGGAUAUCUGGGAGUUAUGGGAUUCAAAACAAGCGGGAAGAAUGAUGGACUGCUGAGGUCGGUGAUUUCUGGGGGCCAGAGGAAACUUAUUUCUGCCUCGUCUGGGAACUUUUUUGAUUCCACUUCCACUUAACAGCAACAGAUGAGCUUUCCAGAGUCGAAAACCCACAUUUGGGUCAGACUGACACAGUAGCUAAAGUUACAGUUUGCAGAUCAAAGGGAAUUAGGAAGGUCGACUCCUUAAUAAAUUCUUACAUGCAGAGAUAGAGAUGAGUUAUUAAUAAUUUCACAUGGAGAAGUUAAUGAAAUUAUUCAAUAAGACCACUUUCUGUGGUAUUUACAUAACAGAUGGGUCUUUUUCCCGCUGAUGAGGAUAUUGCAUUUCAUCCGUGCAGCUCUUAUCCUAGGUGUUCCAUAAAAGCUCCUGACAUAUGAAAUACUUUACACCACAUAAACCCGGGCUUGUCAUGCUCGACUUGCAUUUUCUGGAUGAAUCGUACAAUAAAACGUCCGCGAAGGGACUUGCACGAUUCUCCCUGACUUUUAUUUGUUGGAACGCUGAGGUCACAUCGAUAGUUGUGACAUCUGCUGUGAGGAUGCUGAGACGAGGACCUUCAUGAUGGUUAAAACAGGCUGCUUGUGAUGGAAGCGAGUCAGGAUUGUUAGCUUUUUCAACUGUCGUGCUAAUGUUAAGAUGCCCAGAAGCACAAAUUUAAUUUAAAUCAGAAUGAUAUUUAGUUUUGGUUUA